rnacentral:rRNA from 1 species
ACGUAGGGUGCGAGCGUUAAUCAGAAUUACGGGGCGUAAAGCGUGCGCAGGCGGUGAUGUAAGACAGGUGUGAAAUCCCGGGGCUCGACCUCGGAACUGCAUUUGUGACUGCAUCGCUGGAGUGCGGCAGAGGGGGAUGGAAUUCCGCGUGUAGCAGUGAAAUGCGUAGAUAUCGUGAGGAACACCAGAGGCGAAGGCGGUUUCCUGGACAGUUACUGACGCUCAGGCACGAAAGCAUGGGGAGCAAAAGGGA